rnacentral:rRNA from 1 species
AGAUUGAACGCUGGCGGCAUGCCUUACGCAUGCAAGUCGAACGGUAACGCGGGGCAACCUGGCGACGAGUGGCGAACGGGUGAGUAAUGCAUCGGAACGUGCCCAGUAGUGGGGGAUAGCCCGGCGAAAGCCGGAUUAAUACCGCAUACGACCUAUGGGUGAAAGGCGGGGGACUCGCAAGAGCCUCGCGCUAUUGGAGCGGCCAUGUCAGAUUAGCUAGUUGGUAGGGUAAAAGCCUACCAAGGCGAACGAUCGUGUAGCUGGUCUGAGAGGACGACCAGCCACACUGGGACUGAGACACGGCCAGACUCCUAGGGAGCAGCAGGUGGGUAAUUUGGACAAUGGGCGACUAAGCUGAUCCAGCAUGCCGCGUGGACGGAAGGAACGGCGUUCGGGUUAGUAAACCGUCGUUUAGUACGAGGAAGAACG